GACGAACGCUGGCGGCGUGCUUAACACAUGCAAGUCGAACGGAAAGGCCCUGCUUUUGUGGGGUGCUCGAGUGGCGAACGGGUGAGUAACACGUGAGUAACCUGCCCUUGACUUUGGGAUAACUUCAGGAAACUGGGGCUAAUACCGGAUAGGAUCUCCUGCUGCAUGGUGGGGGCUGGUAAGUUUCGGCGGUUGGGGAUGGACUCGCGUCCCAUCAGCUUGUUGGUGGGGUAGUGGCUUACCAAGGCUUUGACGGGUAGCCGGCCUGAGAGGGUCACCGGCCACAUUGGGACUGAGAUGCGGCCCAGACUCCUACGGGACGCAGCAGUGGGGAAUAUUGCACAAUGGGCGGAAGCCUGAUGCAGCAACGCCGCGUGCGGGAUGACGGCCUUCGGGUUGUAUUCCGCUUUCGCCUGUGACGAAGCGUGAGUGACGGUAAUGGGUAAAGAAGCACCGGCUAACUCCGUG
rnacentral:rRNA from 1 species